GCCAAACCAGCCCUGGACCCCCCCCCCCCAAAAAAACAAAAAAAAUCCUGGGGUGCUUCCCCUCCCCUCCCCCACCUCUGUCCGUGUCUGCCGGGGGGGAGGGGCCGCGUUUGGGAAAACACGAAAAUCUCGUUUUUACUCAUUUCACCCCUUUUUGUGCCACCUCGUGGAUUUUUGGGGGGUGGGAAAAUCCUGGGGACCCCCGAAAACAGCUGGGGAGGGGGUGAAGUUUGGGGACCCCCCCCAAAAAAACAACCAAGAUUUGGGGACCCCCCUGAGCCGUGCCUGACUUGAUGGAACGGUGCCCUGGGCAGGGUAAAAAUUGGGGAAAAUGGGGAAAAAAUGGGAAUUUAGGGGGAAAAAAUGGGGGAAAUAGGAAAAAAAUGGGAAUUUAGGGGGAAAAAAUGGGAAUUUGGGGUAAAAAUGAGGAAAAAAAUGGGAAUUGGGAGGGUAAAAAUGAGGGAAAAUUGAAUUGGAUAAGAAUGGGGAAAAAUGGAAAAUUUGGGGUAAAAAAUGGGGGAAAAUGGGAAUUGGGGGAAAAAAUGAGAAAUUGGGAAUUGGGGGGGGAAAUGAGAAAAAAGGGAAGGGGGUAAAAAUAAGGUAGAAAUGGGAAUUAGGGGGUAAAAAAUGGGAAAUGGGAAUUGCGGGGUAAAAAUGGAAAAUGGGAACUGGGUAAAAAAUGGGGAAAAUGGGAAAUAAAAAAGAGGAAAAAUGGGAAUUGAGAGGUAAAAAAUGAGGAAAAAAAUGGGAAUUGGGUAAAAAAUGUGGUAAAACUGGGAAUUGGGGGCAUGGAAAGGGAAAAAAAUGAGGAUAUGGGUAAAAAAAAAUGGCAAUUGGGUGGGGAAAAAUAGAAAAAACUUUGGGGAUUCCCCCAAAAAAAACCCCCAGGACCAAACCGAGCCCACCCCAAGCUCCUGGGACACCCCAAAACCCAACCAGGGCAAAAAUGUGACCCCAAAUCCCCCCAAAAACCCAAACAGUGCCAGCAGGGAAGAACAAAAACCUUUUUUAUUUCACCCAAAAGCAGCCGGGCCUGGCCCCAUCCUCGGGAUUUUGGGGGGGUUCCCAGUGGAUUUUGGAGCUCCCCGGGGAUUUUGGGGGGUUCCCCGUGGGUUUUGGGGGGUUCCCCUGUGAUUUCUGGGGCUCCCUGCGGGUUUUGGGGCUCCCUGUGGAUUUUGGGGUUCCCCACGGGUUUUGGGGUCCCUCCGUGGAUUUUGAGGCUCCCCACAGGUUUCAGGGCUCGCUGUAGAUUUCGGGGUUCCCCCGCGGAUUUUUUGGGGUUCCCCGCGAGUUUUGGGGUUCCCUGUGAAUUUUGGCGGUUCCUCAUGGAUUUUGGGGUUCCCUGCACCUGCUCCCGGGGGUUUUUGGGGUUCCCAUGGAUUUUGGGGUCCCCCAGCUGCUCCAUUUUCGGGGUUCAGGCGUGCAGGGCCCUCCCGCAGGGUAUUUUUGGGGUUCCCGGUGGAUUUUGGGGUCCCCCAGCUGCUCCAUUUUCGGGGUUCAGGCUGCAGGGCCCUCCCACGGGGUAUUUUUGGGGUUCCCGGUGGAUUUUGGGGUCCCCCAGCUGCUCCAUUUUCGGGGUUCAGGCUGCAGGGCCCUCCCACGGGGUAUUUUUGGGGUUCCCGGUGG
ensembl:lncRNA